rnacentral:rRNA from 1 species
CCCCGGGCUCAACCUGGGAACUGCGUUNUGAACUGGGUGACUAGAGUGUGUCAGAGGGAGGUAGAAUUCCACGUGUAGCAGUGAAAUGCGUAGAGAUGUGGAGGAAUACCGAUGGCGAAGGCAGCCUCCUGGGAUAACACUGACGUUCAUGCCCGAAAGCGUGGGUAGCAAACAGGAUUAGAUACCCUGGUAGUCCACGCCCUAAACGAUGUCGAUUAGCUGUUGGGCAGCAUGACCGCUUGGUAGCGGAGCUAACGCGUGAAAUCGACCGCCUGGGGAGUACGGUCGCAAGAUUAAAACUCAAAGGAAUUGACGGGGACCCGCACAAGCGGUGGAUGAUGUGGAUUAAUUCGAUGCAACGCGAAGAACCUUACCUGGUCUUGACAUGUACGGAACCCUUCAGAGACGGAGGGGUGCCUUCGGGAGCCGUAACACAGGUGCUGCAUGGCUGUCGUCAGCUCGUGUCGUGAGAUGUUGGGUUAAGUCCCGCAACGAGCGCAACCCUUGUCAUUAGUUGCCAUCAUUAAGUUGGGCACUCUAAUGAGACUGCCGGUGACAAGCCGGAGGAAGGUGGGGAUGACGUCAAGUCCUCAUGGCCCUUAUGACCAGGGCUUCACACGUCAUACAAUGGUCGGUACAGAGGCUAGCCAAGCCGCGAGGUGGAGCCAAUCUCACAAAACCGAUCGUAGUCCGGAUUGCACUCUGCAACUCGAGUGCAUGAAGUCGGAAUCGCUAGUAAUCGCAGGUCAGCAUACUGCGGUGAAUACGUUCCCGGGUCUUGUACACACCGCCCGUCACACCAUGGGAGUGGGGGAUACCAGAAGUA